rnacentral:lncRNA from 1 species
UUAUCUUCUUCUCCAAGAAAAAAUUUAAACACAUGAAAAAAUUUUUGAGUAAUUCUUUAUUUUUAUUUGUAUCUGUUUUUGGUGUUAGAAAUGAGCCUAGGACCUUGUUGCAUACUGAGCAAACCUUCCACCACCGAGCUUCAUCCCAGCCCAGGUAAUCCUUAUCUAAAAUGUCCAUCAUAUUGCAGAACUUCUGUGGAUAGGAGAGAUUCAGUAUCUUAGUUACUAUUGUGAAAAAAAGACUACAUACCAAGAAUUUUGAAAUACAACUUUUAUUAUCCUCUGAAAUCCAUAUGCAGGAAGUUUCAACAUAUCAGUAUCCAAUGUUCUCUUUUAUACACAACUUAUAUAAGGGCACAUCCCAAGAUUCAGGCAGCCUCUCCAUAAAUCUGAUCUACAGGAGAGGAAGGGCCUUAAAAGGGAACAGAUUUCAUUAUUAUGAAGGUAAAAAUGGACAGUAUUACAUUUAAAACAGAAACAGGUCAACCAUUUGAAGACAAGGAAAGUCAAUAUUCUUGUUUUACAGAACCAAUUGGAGUUAUGUCAUUAAAGAUUAAGUCAGGAAUUCUAAAGUUUGUUCAAAAGAUAAAACACAGAUCCCUCCAUUAGUUGAAUUUUUAAUGUUUGAAGCAAAAACCUCUGUAAAUCAAAUAUAAGGCAUUUUCUUUAUCAAUGUUACAUGGAUAUUUUUAGGCAGUAACUUCAACUCUCCAAAUAAGUUUAACUUGCUGGGGAUGUGGCUCAAGCGGUAGCGCGCUCGCCUGGCAUGCGUGCGGCCCGGGUUCCAUCCUCAGCACCACAUACAAACAAAGAUGUUGUGCCUGCCGAGAACUAAAAGAAUAAAUAUUAAAAUAUUCUCUCUCUCUCUUAAAAAAAGAGAAAUAAGUUUAACUCCUCUUCUUGUUGUGUAGUGUUUUGUAAUGGAGAUGAAAGUUUAAAUAAGUUGAAAUCUUCCUGCAGAAUUUCUCAAGCCCUCCCUUUCUAUUUCCACAUCUGCUCCCCUAGUUCAUUUCCCCUCACUCUAUGUCUGCACGGUGGCUACUUUCAUCCAGACCACCCUCCAUGCCAUUGUCUAUCUUCCCAACAUACUACUGCCUUUAGCACAUGCAUUAUGAGUGGCUAGCCUGUAGUAAUUGCUCAAUAAAUAAUUUUCAUUUGCUUAAAGUAACUCCCCAUUGCCCAAGAGGCAGAGUGACUCUAAACCCUGAAGAUUCAUAAAUCUCUUAGAAGACUGUAGCAUAAUAAAGAAUAUAUUUGAUCUUUUCCCACAUUCCCAGUACAGAGCUCCUACACCCCUUGGAAUUUCCCAGUAGGAGAGCCUAUAAUGCCUAGGAAGAGACUCAGGGUGGGUCUCUACAUGGUUUCGGGAAGGGUGCCAAUUAGCAGGAAAACCAACUAAACACCAGAUUAGAGUGUUAGAAUUUUGGGCCAGCCUGACCUGAGUUAAAAAUCAAAUAAAGGAGAGAAAGGGGCCUAGAGACUGAUUUUCAUCAUGUGGUCAAUGAUGUAUGUGUGUGUGUGUGUGUGUGUGUGUGUAUGAAAUUUCAAUAAAAACUCUGAGGUUCAGUGGAUAUCUCUGAUUAGUUAACUCAGAUUCUAUGGUCCUAAGAAGAUUUUUAGUAAAUCAGUUUUUCAUUAUAGCUACUCUAUACCAAACCAUGCUCUGGUGACUUGAUUUACUUCUAUAGAUUUGAGUAAUAACUACUUAUUACUAUCUCUGUUCUGCUUCCACCCCAAUCAGUUCUGACACUAUCUACCUAGAGUUGGCACAGACUCCAUAAGUUAGGUGUGCCUUGAGAGUGCAUGUAUCCUCAGCACCAGGAGGGUGGGUUCCCUGAGUCCACAGCAUGAGAGUAUGGGACCUCUGUGUCCUCUCCCUGACCUUGCCCUGUGUAUCUCUUUGUUUGGCUUUGUGGGAAAUGGAAAGUAGAGUGGUCCAUCUUCGCAAUGUGGUAUUUAGCCUUAAAUGUAAAAUUGGGAUGUAGAAUCUAUGUGUAGUCAUUUUGAGCUUCCAACCUGUAUCCAAUCGUAGCUUUUUUAACUACAGCUCUUCCCAAUUUUAUAAUUACACAAUCAUGUAGAUUGUAACCCUGAGCUCCUCCUAUCAGAACAAGGGGCAGUGCCUGUUAGGGAUAAAAAGGCGGGCUACUCGCCCAGGUGUGCUUGCUUGCACAUCCUUCUGCAAAAGUAAAGUGUACCUUGCCAAGUAAUUUUUGAGCUUGAUUUCUUUUGGUACUCCAAUGUUUCUAAUACCUCUUUCUUGAAAUAUGUCCUUUAAUGAUAAAGUUAUAAUCAUAAAUAUAGUACUUUCUUGGGUUCAGAAUAUUCAAGUGAAUUAUCAUGGUAACCCCAUGGUGGCCAGUAGGUCAAAAGUAUGAGUGGCCUGGGGACUUCCUAAGACUUGUGACUGUCAUCUGAAGUGAGGGCAAUCUCAUGGAGGUCUAUGAUCCUAAACUUGUGGAGCCUUUGCCAACUCUGGGUAGCUAAUGUUAGAAUUGAAUGGAAUGGAAAUAACAGAGACAGUAUUAAGUAGCUAUUAGAGUAAUCUAUGGAAGUCACCAAAGCAUGGUUUUGUAUAACAGAGCUGUGAUGUGGUGGAAAAAUGAUUUACUAAAGGCCUCCCCGGGACCUCAACACGAUAAUACUUCUUCCUGUAAUCUAGCUCACAAAGGACCUGCUAGGAUGACCUCAGGCUUAGGAAUCAUUCCUAUGAGUCAUUGGAAGACAAGAGGAGUCAAAAUAUUUUGACUAGCCCAGGGCAAGGUAUUUCUGAUGUAUUGUGAUCUAUGUUCUGAAUUCCGUGGGGUCCUGCUAAUGGUUUAUUUUGGCAGAAGAGAAUAGAAGUGGCUUAGUUUCUCUGAAAAACAUUCAACUUAGCCCAACAUCCAAGACUGACUGUUGAGUUGCGAGUAAGUGUUCAUGCUAUACAUAAAGAUUUGAAAUCCUCUGCUCUGUCUGCAUCCUAGAUAGCAAUUCUAAGAAGAGUCAUGUGGCUGGUACGGGAAAUUACACUGCAUGGAGUGCCCUCCCACUAUUUCUUGCUUUCUAAGCUUUUCCCAUUUUGGCAAUAUAAUAACAGCAACAGAGGGGAAAGAAAAGAGAAGUCAUGAGGUACGGAGCACCUACUGCAUACUAGGCAUGGGAUAAAUGCUUCCACUUAUGUUAGCUUAUUUAAUCCCCAUAAUCUUCUAGAAGAAUGGGUAUUAUUAUCACCACUUUGUGGACACUUAAAAGGGAUCAGAAUUCCCUGAGGUCUCAUAGUAAGUUAAAAAAACAAGCAUUAGCACUCAGGGUUGUCUGCAUCUGAAUUUGAACUCCACACUCUUCUUUAUUGUUUACCAGCUUUGGGCCUCACUAGGGUGUGCCCAAGUCACACUCUGAUGAAAACAAGAUUACCUUCCUCACCUCCUUGCCAGGAGCUGCUGGUUAUCCAUCCUUGAGUAAGGCUAGAGUCAGCUGCUAAACCAGUUUUCCCUGAUAAGUCACAGAUUUCCCCUGGCAGGAUAGCACUGAGAUCUUUUUCAGCCUCCUACCUCAAUGUUAUCUCUUUUAGGCAAAUUGGUGCUAAUUGUGGGACAGGCAGGAACAGGCCAUCAUCACAGCCUCCUAGAGGCCUCCUCUGCACAGUUGCCUGCUCACUGCUGCUUACAGAAUCCUCUUCAACCCCCUGACUCAACUUGGUAGUUGUAGGAGUCAGAGCUGACUUUUCUGGCAAGGACCCGUGACAUCACAUCCUCUCUCUUCCACACAGGACCCCCGUGACAUCACAUCCUCUCUCUCCCCCACAGGACCCGAGCAAGAGCUCAAAAUGUGCUGAAAUCACUCAGGGAGGAUAAGGCUGGGCAUCCUGCAUGAUUAAAUGUCUACUUGUCAUUAGUAAGAGGCUCCACCCAGCCUGGUUGGCUGAAGACCUAAUAUUGGGAGCCUGGAGUAUUGAGCCCAGUGUUCUGGGGUGGGUUGGUGGGGGAGGAUUAAAGAAGUACAAUGAGACCUCCACAGUCUCACUCAGCACCAGCAGAGCUGGCAGUCCAGGAUAGUGUGUUACCUGGGCCAAAAUUUUGAAUACCCUGUGGACUGGGACCUGGGUUGGAGACGGGGAGGAGCCAUUGGCCAUUGAACACCUCCAGCCCAACAUAGUCCCUCUCAUUUCCUAAGAGUUCAUGGCAGUUGAUUUCCCAUGGAAACAAGCAGAAAUCUGCUUUAAUCAUUUGGCAUUUUUAGUUUCCUAAUUUGUAUGGGAACCUAGAGAUACAGACAUAUGGUACAUUCAUUAUCCCAGAAAUCUACAGCUAAAGGGAAAAUAGUUGAAGGCAGUCUUAAAAACUGGAAAUCUUCGGCAGAUGCCUUAAAAUUACUUUUCUUCAUCUCAGGGACUGUCAACAACAGAAGGGUUCUUUCUGUUUCGGCUCAGUACUUCCAGAAGGAUUGGUGUUUGGACUUCUGGUGGGUGCUUCUCCAUGGCCCAUCCCAGCCUGCCAGCUCUUGUGGUUAGAUCUCAGAACCUUGCUCUUAUUUCCUAAACCAGCUUGAGAGGGGAAUGAUGAGAGGCUCAGGUGUCAGCAGACCUGAGGUCUAAUACUGACUCACGACCUUGUUAAUCCUGAGACAUGGGGCUAACCUGAGCUGAUUCAUGUCUUCUUUUCCUCAUCUGAAUAUUUUAUUUAUUCAUCAAACAUCUAUUUUGUGCCAGGCACUGCUUUAGGAACUGAUUAAACAGCAAUGAACAAAAUGGAAUCAUUGUUUUUAUGAGUUUUUAUUCUACUUAGGGGGAGAUAAAUAACAAAUUAAUAGAAGAAAUAAUAUGCCAACUGAUGAUAAGUGUUAUGGAGAACAGUAAAGUAGAGGGAGUAUUUGGGCAAUGAUAAAAUUUAAAGGCUGUUCAGGGAAGUCAUCACCUGUGCCGCUGUUGAAUGAAGAACGUUUUGGGUGGAGACUACCUGGGUUAUUUUUUUUUGGUGGGGGGGGGGCAGCCAAGAGUCUGGUGUGCCUGUAGUUCCUGAGUGCAGAGCUUUGGGCACCUCUAAAGAUGGUGCUAUGGUAACUCUUGUAUUGGAGAGUUUUAAACAGAAGGGUGAUAUGAUCUAAAUUGUGCCAAAGUUACUCUGGCUUCUGUGCUGAGUUGGAUGAAGUGGACAAGUUAGAACAUCACAGUUACCAAAGGGAGACCCCAUGGUUUGUGGCAGGGUAAAAUUGAUGUUGGGUGGUGAGGAGUGGUCAGAUUGUAGUUAGCAUAUUAUUUUGAAAGUAGAAUUGAAAUAGUCUGCUGACAUAUUGUAUGUGGAAGGUGAAAAAAAAAACCCUUAGGAUUACUUUAAUUUUUUAGUGCAUUUCUUGGAAAAACAGAAUGUCCAUUUUCUGUGAUGGUCCAUGGUAUGGAAGGAAUAGUUUUCUAGAUGGGGAGGGAUAGAAAACCUGGAAUUCAGUUGUGGACAUAUUAAAUCUGAGGUACCAAUUAGAAAUCCAAGUGGGGAAUAUGAAAUAUAUUAUUUUAGGAUCAGAAAAAAAGGGAAUUCCUUUCCUGCCCAUUGUUAAGGUUCAUGACCAACAAUCCUGUAAAACAAAAAAAGACAGGAUAAGAGGCUGGAGUUAUAGCUCAGUGGUAGAGCGCUUGCCUAGCAUGUGUGAGGCACUGGAUUGGAUUCUCAGCACCACAUAUAAAUAAAUAAAAAUAAAGUUCUAUCAACAACUAAAAAAAUUUAAAGACAGGUUAAUAAGAGAAAAGCAUAAUAAAUUUAUUUGACCAUAGUUUCACAUGGCAUGGGAGUCUUUAGAAUGAAGACCAAAGACCUGGGGUAAAGCAUCCAUUUCUAUGGUUAGGUUUGAUGAAGCAUGAAUGUCAGUAUAGAUAUGUGACUGGACAAAAACGGGUAUGACAUAAUAAGAAUCAACCAGGGAAAGGAAAGUCCAGCAAGGCCUGUACUUCAGGUUCUUCUUGGUCUCACUAUGGGGCAAGACACUUUCUAGAAUGGGAAGGGGGUUCUGAUGUAUAAUAAAGUUGGUCAGAGAAUUUCUUUAUGGCCAACUCUUACAGAAAAAGGCAGGAGAAUUUUAGGGUAAUAAUUUUAGGUUUUUAUGGCUAGAUUUUGGGAAAAGAAGUAAUAGUUUCUAAGACUCAACCUGGGAAAAAAGAAUGCUAGCCUUUAUGGCUUUUUUGGGGGAAACUGAGCCGUGAGAGGCAGGUGGGCAGGAGAAGGUCAGAGAGGAACUUUGCUUCUGAGGCUGCUUCUGUUCCUUCACUUUGGUAUACUGUUUUCUGAGAGCUAGCAUUACCUAUCAGACAGCUGAACUUAUCAAAUUUAAUAAAUCUAAAAGAACGACUGCUUUUAUCUUCAAGAAAAACAAGAGUAGCUAUCUGAUAAGAAGGUAAGCUGAUUAAGUAAAUAGCUUGUUUCUGUGCUUUCCUAGCAUGGGCGCUAUUAUCUCUUUGCAGUUGGGUCUAUAAGCUAGUGGGAUUUCAAAGAUUCAAAAAUUUAAAGCUAAGGAAAGGUCCUGGCACUGAGACAUUCAAUAUAGAAAGCAUAUAUCCACUUCCUACUUACCUAUUCUUUUUUUUAAGGAUAGUUACACACUAGAAUUAGAAACAGAGUACUUAUGCCCAAGGGUAUAGAGAAGGCCAUGGGAUGAGAAGGCUUGUGCUCAUAUCAGUUUGGAGAAUUUUUUUUUUAAAACCUUUGUUUUAUUUGUUUAUUUUUAUGUGGUGCUGAGGAUUGAACCCAGGGCCUCACACGUGCUAGGUGAACACUUUACAAGUUUGGAGAAAUUUUUGAACCCCAAAUGGAGAGUCUUUGAAGGCUGGUGGUGAGUCGCUGGCAGAAAUUAUACUACACUCUUGUAGGGAUGCCAGGUCUGGCUGAUAGCAGGCUUAAUGAAUUGUAGUUUGCUUUCUUUUUCUUAUGAAGAACUCUGCAUUAUUAAUCUUUAUGUUCUUAGUAGAUAUAUAGCAACUGUACUUAUUUCUAUACUUGAAUUUAGUCACUUUAUGCAUUAAUGUUUCUAGGGCAUAAGGGACCUAAGGAUCAGGUCAAGGAAACUGUAAACUUUAUUCUAAAGCAGUACUGCCACCAGAACUUUAAUAUGUAGCGGUAUAUAUUCUAAGUUUUCUAGUAUCAACAUUUUGAAAAGUAAAAAGAAAUGAAAUUAAUUUUAGUAGUAUUUAUUCAACCUAAUGUCAAAAUAUUACUUUCAUGUAAUUAAUAUAAAAAUAUUAACAUAUUUUUCCUUUGAUUGUUUUUUUUUAAAAAAUCAGGUUUUUAUGGCAAUAGAACAUCUCUACUCAAUAAGCCACAUUUCAAAGUCUUACUAGCCACAUGUGACUAGUGGUGGUCAUAUUGGAUAGAACAAUACUAGGGAUAAUAGAGGGUAUUUUCAUUUCAUUUGAAAAUUUAUUUAUUUGUUUACUUUUGAGAAAUGGUGUAUUUUUAGCCAGUCAAGCUCAGAUGUUAAUUGUCCCUUUGCUUUAAGCAGCAGGAAGUUACACAGUUGCUCUUCUAGUACAUGGAGGAAACAGAGGGAGGAUCUUAAAUUUUCACUAAGCUCCACCUCCUCUCCUCAGGUAGAAACACCCACCCAGUGAAGAACACAAGGGCAAGAUCCCUAACACCAACAGUAUAAGUGUAGUCCCUUAUCUAUGAGGAAUAUGUUCCAAGACCCCCAGUGGUGCCUGAAACCAGAUACUACCUUAACCUAUAUAUAUAAUUUUUAUCUGUACAUAUAUGUCACAUAUGAUAAAGUUUAAUUUAUAAAUCAGACCCAGCGAGAGAUUAACAAAAUCUAAAAAUAAAAUAGAACAAAUAUAGCAAUAUACUAUAAUAAAAGUUAUUUAAAAUUUAUGAAUUAUUUGUUUCUAGAAUUUUCCAUUUAAUAUUUUUGGGCUACAGUUGACCACUGUUAAGUAAAACUCUGGAAAAUGACAUUGCAGAUAAGGGGUACCAUGGUGUUGUACCCACAAACUUUUCUUGCAUGGAUAGUUAUGCUAAUAGAUACAUUUAAAAAUGUUACCCCUCUCUGAUUUUUAUGUUAAAAAUCUCCCCAUGAUGAAAAGGCAUAAGAAAGGUGAAUGAGACAUAAAUAACUUGGAACUGGUAACAGGAGGUCUUCUAGGAAAUAGCACACAAAGAAAACAAAAUCAAAGGGAAAACUAGAAAAAUGUAGAGCUUUUAGUCAUAAAAUAAAUUGAAUUUUAAUUUCAUUUCAGUUUAUUAAAUGACUUUGUGUGUUUUGGGAAAUCAGUCAUGUCUUCUACCUUAUGAAAUUCCUCCCUGACCACAAUCAACAUUGUUCUAAGCACUUUAAAAAUAUUAUUUAAUCCUUAUAACAGUCCUAUACCUUUUAUAAUAAGAAGUUUGAAUCUUAGCUCUGUCACUUGCCAUUUAGGAAAUUCUCUGAAUUGGUUAUUUUAAUAUGUAAAAUGUAGAUAAAACAUGACUCAUCUAAUAAGAUUACUGUGAAAAUUAACUUGAGGUCAUGGUGGCACUGUGGCAUACAAUAAACUCUCAAUAUACAUUGCUACUCUUAUUGGUGACAAAUAGCUACUUUGUAAACCUUGAGAUAACAGGUUACAAACACUAUGGUAAGGAGGUCACAGGGUUAGGACCUCUGCUUCUGGUUCACAUAGUGGCUUUUUCUUUAAAGAAUCCACUCUGGUGGGUCCAGUGGAACAAACCAGCUCUUGAGAGACUGAGGAAGGAGGAUGGCAAGUUCAAGACCAGCCUGGACAAUUUAAUGAGGACCUGUUUAAAAGGAAAAAAAAAAUGAAAGUGCUGGGAUGGUAGAGGAUUCCUGGGUUCAAUCUCUAGUACUGCAAGAAAAAAAAAAUCACAGUUUCUUGUCCAUGUACUAGAAAGUUUUGGAGCCUGUAUUAACCUUCAAAGCAUUAGGGAACUCUUAUGUAAGAGUGCCUAAAUCAAGAAUUCACCCCAACCUCACUAACAUUUUUAAAGCAAUUGAUUAAUGAAUAGGAGUACAGGCACAUUAUACAAAAUUCAAGAGAAUAUAAAAUCAGAGAAACUGUAUAGUUUUGCCAGUGUUUUUGUAUACCCAUUAGAGGUAUUGUGUGGAUAUUCAAGUUCUGUCUGUCUCUGUCUCUCACACACACAUACUCACACACCCCUUCAAAUACAAUCUACAUUGCUUAACAACAGGGUUACAUUCUGAGAUGCACAGUUAAGAGAUCUCAUUGUCUGAACAUCACAGAAUGUUCUCGCACAAGUUAAGAUGACUGUGAUGUUACCAGGCAGUCUAAUCCCACAGGGCUGCCAAAGUUUAUAAUUUAUUUUUGACAGAGACAUUGUUAUGUGGCACCUACCUGUACUCAUUUAACAAAUAUACACAAUAUUCUGUUGUUUUUACUGAGAUACCCCCCAAGCUCUAAGCACUUAUAAAGAGUUCUAGUUUAAGAAUAUUGAUUUUCCUGAGGGGCAUCUUCUUAUGGGCUCAUGCUGGCUAUUGACUUUGUUGGUGGUAAGUAUGUCUAAGACUCCAGGGAAGUCAAUAAUCAGGUACAGGGUCUGAAAUAUGGGAAAGAAAAAGGAUCAAGGAAAGGGAGGUAAAGCUUAUGAGUACCUAUUUGUGUCAGGUGUGACUCCAAAAAAAGUUUAAGUGUGCUAUCUUAAUUUUCUCAGCUAAUUUGGAAAAGCUUUAUUAUUUUUCCUCAUUUUGCAGAGGAGAAAACUGAGGUAUAGAAAGAUUAUGUGACUUGCCUGGGGUAACAGUUGGAAAGUUGAGGAGGCAGAAUUCAGACGCAAAUCAGACUGAAAUAAAAAAAAUCCCAAGCCUAGUGACUUAUACCUGGGGAAUGGACAAGAAUAUCAGAUCCCAGGAGGGCAGACAGUGGCUGAAUUCCCAGUUGCUUUGAAUCCUUUAGGAUGGGAAGGGAAAUUAAAUCAGAAAAACUAACAUUUAUGGUAUCCAAAACUACACCAAAUAGGCUAGUCGACAGCCCUUCUCUGUCUCUGCAUCUCUUCAAACAUGUCAACUCUUGAUUAGGACACAUUUUAAGUGGUCAUAGAUGCCAUUUCUGAGACCAGCACACAGUGAUGAUGGCAUUUGUUGGAAGGCAGAUGUUCUGCACUGGGAAAGACCUUAGUCUAUCUAGAGACCUCAUUUCUGUGACUCAGUAAAAAUCUAUGAUAAUUACUUGGGUACUCACUAAGAUUCUUGUAAAUGAAAAUUCCUAAAUUAAAAAAAAAAGUGAAUGUAUUCUUCACUAAUGGUGUUAUUACUAACGGUCUUCAGCAGUCCAAGCCUGUUAGGGCUUAAACAAUAGGCACUUGUUUCUCACAAGUUCCAGAGGUGGACAAGUCCAAAAUCAAGGUACAGCAAUUCAUUUCCUGGCUUGCAGAUGGCUGGCUUCUCACUGUAUCUUUACCUCAAACAGAGCAGGGAGGCAUAGGUAAGCAAGCUGUUAGUAACUUCUUUUCCCCCCCACCCCUUAUGAUUCAUCUAAGCUUAAACACUCCAAGGUCCCCUCCUACUACUAUCACAUCAGGGCAUAAAGUUUCACAUAUGAAUUUCUGGAAGAUAUAAGCAUUCAGUCUGUAACACUAACAAUAGUAAAAAUAAUGCAUUCAGACAGAGCUUAGGUGUUAGCAAAGCAAAUUCACAUCAAUUACCUCAUUUGAACCUCAGGGUUGUUAUCUGUGAGCUAGUUAUUUUUAUUUUCCCUGCUUUACAGAUGAGGAAGCUGAAUUGAGAAGCAUUUGGUGAUUCUCCCAUGGUCACAUGAUAAAGUGGCACUGGUGGCAUGCAAAUUUAGGUCCUCUAAUUCCAAAUCCUGUGUUCUUGCAGCUGCAUUAGGAACAGGCCAUCUGCCCCUCAUAUUAUCAGCAGAAGCAACAAAGAAAGAGCAACUACUGAUAUUUAUUUAGUACUGUGUUAUAUGUCCGUCUCUUUGAAAAUAUUAUCUUUUGUGGUAGAUACUAGUAUUUUCUUUUCUAUCCCAGAGUAAAUCUGAAAUUAUUAGGGUUGAAUAACUUUCCAAGAUCAGAUAGCUGGCACACGAUAGAAUAAGUAUUUGACCCAGGUCUGGCUGAAUGUAUGGAUUAUGUUCUCAUUAAACUGCUCUGCUACAGUGGCCUUUAAAAUGAAAUGCUCUUUGAAACAUGGUAUGUAAGAUGAAAAUAUUGGGCGUAUUUAUCAAGAUUUUAGUUAGAAAUGGAUUUCUUGCCCUUUCAAAGCAUUAGUGUCCUACAAAGUACUCAAUUGAAAGUCCUAUUUUUCCGGCACCACAGAUGGAGGACAGAUGUUUCUUUAUACUCUAAAAGGUCCACUCUCUGUGGCUGACUAGAAUGAGAUUGUAUCUUGUUCUGAAUGUUUCAGAAAAUGGGCAUCAGGCAGAUCAUUUCGAAUGAAAGCCA